AACGAACGCUGGCGGCAGGCCUAACACAUGCAAGUCGAACGCCGUAGCAAUACGGAGUGGCAGACGGGUGAGUAACGCGUGGGAACACUACCCCUCGGUUCGGAAUAACUUAGGGAAACUUGAGCUAAUACCGGAUACGUCCGUAGGUUUUAACCGGCCUCGGAGAAAGUAUUUAUCGCCGGAGGAUUCGGCCCGCGUCUGAUUAGCUUGUUGGUGAGGUAAUGGCUCACCAAGGCGACGAUCAGAGCUGGUCUGAGAGGAUGAUCAGCCACAUUGGGACUGAGACACGGCCCAAACUCCUACGGGAGGCAGCA
rnacentral:rRNA from 1 species